rnacentral:rRNA from 1 species
UACAGAGGUCUCAAGCGUUUGUUCGGAUUCAUUGGGCGUAAAGGGUGCGUAGGUGGCGCCGUAAGUCGGGUGUGAAAUUUCGGAGCUUAACUCCGAAACUGCAUUCGAUACUGCGGUGCUUGAGGACUGGAGAGGAGACUGGAAUUCAUGGUGUAGCAGUGAAAUGCGUAGAGAUCAUGGAGGAAGACCAGUGGCGAAGGCGGGUCUCUGGACAGUUCCUGACACUGAGGCACGGAAGGCCAGGGGAGCAAACGGG